rnacentral:rRNA from 1 species
UUCCGGNUGAUCCCGCCGGAGGNCACUGCUUUUGGGGUUCGAUUAAGCCAUGCGAGUCGAGAGGGUUCGGCCCUCGGCGUACUGCUCAGUAACACGUGGAUAACCUGCCCUAGGGAAGGGGAUAAUCCCGGGAAACUGGGGAUAAUACCCUAUAGGUUACAGAUGCUGGAAUGCUCUGUAAUCAAAAGUUCCGGCGCCCUAGGAUGGAUCUGCGGCCGAUUAGGUUGUUGUUGGGGUAAUGGCCCAACAAGCCAGUAAUCGGUACGGGUUGUGGGAGCAAGAGCCCGGAGUUGGAUUCUGAGACACGAAUCCAGGCCCUACGGGGCGCAGCAGGCGCGAAAACUUUACAAUGCGGGCAACCGUGAUAAGGGAACCUCGAGUGCCUGUAAAUGCAGGCUGUUCAGAUGCCUAAAACACAUCUGGAGAAAGGGCCGGGCAAGACCGGUGCCAGCCGCCGCGGUAAUACCGGCGGCUCGAGUGGUGGCCACUUUUAUUGGGCUUAAAGCGUUCGUAGCUGGGUUGUUAAGUCUCUUGGGAAAUCUGGCGGCUUAACCGUCAGGCGUCUAAUGGAUACUGGCAAUCUUGGAACCAGGAGAGGUGAGGGGU